rnacentral:rRNA from 1 species
AUGCUGUCUUUCACGGCGUCGGCACGGCACUUGACUCCCACCGCGGAUUACUCGGUGCUGAGGAAGGUGCCUCGUGGACCAGACCCCAUAAUGUCCGACCCACCGCCUCGGCCGCCAGCCAAGAGCACACAUUUUCCGGUGCUGAGGAAGGUGCCUCGUGGGCCAGACCCCAUAACAUCUGACACGCCCCCACCGCCGGCCACGAGCGUGCACUUCUCCGUGCUGAGGAAGGUGCCUCGUGGGCCGGACCCUAUAACAUCGGACCCACCGCCGCCGCCAGCCACCAGCCCACACUUCUCGGUGCUUCGGAAGGUGCCUUUCAGACCAGAUCCCAUAGUAUCUUAUGCUCCACCGCCACCGGCGACAAGCGCUCACUUCUCGGUUCUCCGGAAGGUCCCCCGUGGGCCGGACCCCAUCACGUCCGACUCACCGCCGCCACCUCCGAGGGACCUCUCGGAUUUCUCGGUGCUCAGGAAGGUUCCUACCGGACCAAACCCGGCGACGUCCGACUCACCGCCACCACCUCCGAGGGACUUCUCGGUGCUCAGGAAGGUUCCUACCGGACCAAACCCGGUGACGUCCGACUUACCGUCGCCACCACGGCUGCCAGCUGCAGCUUCUCCGGCGUGA